rnacentral:misc_RNA from 1 species
AACGCAAAUUGCGCUCGAGGCUUCGGCCAAGAGCAUGUCUGUCUCAGCGUCGGCUAACCCCCUCACUCCUCUCCCUUUGGUACCAAAGGGUUGGGGUAGUGGAUCUGGCCGUCCCGGUGCACAGCCGGGUCGACCGAAGCACAGAGGCUUGUGCUUGGACCCCUCAUAGGGCGACAGCUUGGUAGGUGGCUCAAUGCUACAUGCCGCUGAAGCCUGGGAGUCCAAGCCAUGUGGCCGGCAGGAAACAAUUCAAUCAUUCGACCUGAGAUCAGGCAAGAACACCCGCUGAACUUAA